AACGAACGCUGGCGGCAUGCCUAACACAUGCAAGUCGAACGAGACCUUCGGGUCUAGUGGCGCACGGGUGCGUAACGCGUGGGAACCUGCCCUUAGGUUCGGAAUAACUCCCCGAAAGGGGUGCUAAUACCGGAUAAUGUCUUCGGACCAAAGAUUUAUCGCCUUUGGAUGGGCCCGCGUUGGAUUAGCUAGUUGGUAGGGUAAAAGCCUACCAAGGCGACGAUCCAUAGCUGGUCUGAGAGGAUGAUCAGCCACACUGGGACUGAGACACGGCCCAGACUCCUACGGGAAGCAGCAGUGGGGAAUAUUGGACAAUGGGCGAAAGCCUGAGCCAGCAAUGCCGCGUGAGUGAUGAAGGCCUUAGGGUUGUAAAGCUCUUUUACCCGGGAUGAUAAUGACAGUACCGGGAGAAUAAGCGCCGGCUAACUCCGUG
rnacentral:rRNA from 1 species